CCAGAGCUGGUCAAGAGGGGCUAAAACUGACAGGUUGAGAAUCAAGUGAGCAGGUGGAUUCAACUAAGUGAGAGGAGAAAGUCUGAGGACAUCUAGUGGUGGGAUGAAGAACUGCAACAACAGAGGUGGGACUAUAAAGUGUGGAUGGGACACACAUAAAGGGAGAUAUAAAGUACUCAGGUAUAGUUUAGUAUAGUUAUAUUUUUUACAUACGGGAGAAGGCUAAAAAUAACCACACCCAGUGCAAAAUAUUGUGACAUUGAUUUCUUUUAAUGAUCAACACAUUAAAAAAGAGAAAACUCAAACUUAAUAAGGACUACUACAAGAUGACACACUAAAGAGCAACAAAUCUAAUUAAAUUACAUUUGAGUGAAUCCCCUAAAAGCGUGUGUUUACCUGAUCCUUCACACUGAGCAGAGAGUCAGAGGACAUGUCUAGUGGACUUGGUAGUCAUGACAGCACUUCCCGUCAGGCUGCUCAGCAUUCACACAGGAAAAGCCAUGAGUGGCAUCAUAUCUGAAAAACACAUAUAAAGAAAACUAUUAAAGGAGCAAUCCCCCAAAUAUCCUCCAUGGCCACAUAAAAUACAGACAUAAGAGUGGCAUUGAUAUUCUCAUCUGUGUCCAAGCAGUUGAAUUUCUUCACUGUGAUGUAACAAAAGUUUCUUAAAUGUUAAACAUAUAGAUGUUAUUUCAUUUCCUGUCUCUGAUUUAAUAUCCUGUCUUUUUUAUUUCUGUCAUUUCAGUUUGUUGCCCCCAGCUGUCAGAGUAUGAUGCAUGUUUCUGGAGCGGUGGUGGCAUUAUCGUCUCUACAGCAACUCACUCUUGAAAGACAUCACCGGUCUGGAUGAGGGUUUAGUAAUCCCCCCAAAUUUGAAGGAUCAUCCAAGUCAAACCAGCUUGUCCUACAACCUGCGAAGUGGCCAGUAUGAAACUGUCACUGGUCUGUGUAGGAAAUACUGAGUAUACCCAAGUUUUGAUGUUGCAAAUUUCAUGCAUAUGUGUAUUUAAUUUACUUUUUCAUAUCUAUUUCCCUUAAAAACUAACAGAAUUAGAAGAUAAACCAUUAGAUAU